rnacentral:rRNA from 1 species
GUGGCGAACUGGUGAGUAACACGUGGGAAACCUGCCCAGAAGCGGGGGAUAACACCUGGAAACAGAUGCUAAUACCGCAUAACAACUUGGACCGCAUGGUCCGAGCUUGAAAGAUGGCUUCGGCUAUCACUUUUGGAUGGUCCCGCGGCGUAUUAGCUAGAUGGUGGGGUAACGGCUCACCAUGGCAAUGAUACGUAGCCGACCUGAGAGGGUAAUCGGCCACAUUGGGACUGAGACACGGCCCAAACUCCUACGGGAGGCAGCAGUAGGGAAUCUUCCACAAUGGACGAAAGUCUGAUGGAGCAACGCCGCGUGAGUGAAGAAGGGUUUCGGCUCGUAAAACUCUGUUGUUAAAGAAGAACAUAUCUGAGAGUAACUGUUCAGGUAUUGACGGUAUUUAACCA